AGAGAAAGUUCCUAAAGGGAUGAUCUGUACCCUAAGGUGCUGAGAAAUUAGAAAUAUAGCUUUUUCUUAUCUCUAGCUUUAGCCCCUGCUGUUAGGGUUACUGUCUUAUCCAGAUGACCCCCAGAGAACAGGAGGGCCAGUGUGGAGGAUAGGGCACUGGGGAAGAUGCUGGUUGACCAUUUCAAAACCAGUUUGGGUAAUGGCUAUUCCCCAAGCUACCCUAACUUCAUUCCAAGCUAUGCAUGACCCUGCCCUUUCACCCCUCCUAGGAUUUCCUGUAUAAAUUCUUUGGAUUUACCUUGCGGACCUCAAGGAAUAUGAAACUGGUGAAGAUGAUGCUUUCCUCUAUCCUACAAAGUGUCCAUGAAGACCUGCAGGAGAGGGAGGGCAUUGCUACGGCACUGAGUAUCGUGUCCAUGAAGUAUCUGAAGAUAGUCCUGGACCAACUUCAAGAGUACAGUGCUAUCCUCACGGACAAGGGCUCAUCAUUCAUCCUCAAACUAAUGAAGGUGAUGGCAUUCCUGGGAACUCUGCCAGCCUCCCACACAGAGCCUUCUGAAGCAUCCCCAUCACUCCAGACUUCCCACUUGAGGACUUGUGACUCACCUAUAAAUGCUUGUAUUUCCCUCUGAUCAACCGUGGGGAAGUUUCAUCUUCUUCUCCCUUUCCUGUGCUCCCUUAUGCUCAUGCUUCAGGCCCUGGUAUCACCAGAGGCACCACAUUCCUCCCAGCUGUUCACCAUUCCACAACCCCAGCUUCCCUUCUGGACCAUCUAGCCAAUCCAUUCCUCUCUGAACCUCCAUUUCCCCAUCAGGCAAGGAGGUUAAGAGGAAGAGAAGGCAAGUUUCCCCGUUCCUCCUACAUUGGCAUGGGGAGGAAGAUGACGCAUUCAGAUUUUGAUGGGGAGACGUCAGGGUGCCCCUGGUAGGGAACCAGGUGGAGAUGCUUAGUAUCCACCUACAGUAUUUUUCACUUAGUUGUCCUUCCACUUAGUUGUCCUUCCACUUAGUUGUCUGAUGUUACAGACCAACCCAGCAAAGGGAAUGGGGGUUGGUCUGUAACAUCAUCUACUUAAGCUGUAGCAAGAUUAUUUUCGAGAGCAAGGGAGGCAUCGUCACGCAUUUGGACAACAUCCUGGCUUUGGCGCUCCAACACUACUGCAACUGCAUUGUUGAAAAGGUACUUCCUGUUUACUCUACUUCUCCAGUGUCCCCUCCCUGCCUUCUUUACCCUUCCCCUCCGAGAAAAUGCCUGGCCUUGGAUGGAACAAGGGGGGUGGGACUAUUGCAGUUCCUUUAGGGGAGGUAAGAAGGAGUCCCUAAAGAAUUUUCCUACCUCUUUCAUUUGUCCAGAGAAUGUGCCCCUAGGGUAGGAGAAGAAGCCUUUCCCAACUCCUGUUCAUUUACCAUCCAACUAGACAUCCUUCAGGAGAACUUACUUGGUAAAAAGACAAUAACUUGAGUGACAAGAAAUCUAGCUAGGUUGGUCCUAACUUAAGAGUAAGUAUGAAGUUCCAGAAAGAGGUUGGUAAGAGGGGUGGCCUCUUCCCCAUAAAGAGGCCACAGGCUUUGCUUUCCUAAGCGGUCCUCAGAGGGAAGAGUCAAGAUCUCAACCUAGAGAAAGCUAUGGAAGCCUCAGCUUCUUGUCUCCCAGAUUUUGUGUAGGUAGUUUUCCCUUAACCCAAGAUCAUUCCUACCUUGGAAACCCCUGAGCAUACCGAUUGAUUCAGGAUAAGAACUUGAAGCUGGAGUACCUGGGCCCCUUGAGCAAGCUAACAAACAUCAUUAGCAGCCAGUCUAUGGCCUUUCAGUUCAAGUUCGUUCAGAAACUAGAAAUUGUAACCUUCAUGGUGGUAAGUAUAACUCAGGAGGAUGAUGGUGGAAAUGCACGGAGGAGGGAGAGUGGGUCCUCAGGGAAACCAUGGGCAGCGCUCCUGGGCUUGGCCUGGAGGAGAAAAGUCCAGAUUUUCUAGUGUCCUUUUCCUACUUUAUUGUUCCUUUUCCUAUCCUCAGGGUGGGUGUGAGUACUGUGGGGAAGGUAUGCUUGGGAGUAGGAGAGAAGGCCUAUCCUUCUGAGUUUUUGGAAGUCCCUGAAAAUUCUAGGUUCUAGUUUCUUGUGAAUACAGUGUGGGGUGAGAAGAGGCGGAAGGAGGCAAGAAAAAUAUGUUCAUAUCCUUUUGGUCUCUCUUCUUUGGGUGGGUGUAUUACAGGAGUUAAUCAGGGAGGAGCCAUUGAAUUCCAUCUCCAGCUCCCUUAGGCUGAAGGCGAUGAAUAUCAUCACUGACUUCAGGUAAUGGGUGUUCGAGCCACUCUGUCUUCAUGCUUUGAGUAGAUUUCAGUCCUUUAUUCCCUAGUCUGUCCCCAGCUCAUUUUCUGCUUCUGCUUCUAGUCACAGGGGGCCCC
rnacentral:lncRNA from 1 species